rnacentral:lncRNA from 1 species
UGGUUUAUUGUAUGACAAAAUGAACGAACCCGUUGAAGGAGGGAGAGAGAUGGUUACUAAUCAUAGGGACAAUCUACAUGCAGAGAAUGACAGGCCCCAUAAGAAGAGAAAGAAAUCUCAUAGGGAAAAAGCAGGUACUUCCGUGGAAACAGAAGAUCCAAAAGCCGUAGUCUAUGAGGAUGCAGAUGGCUUCAGACAAACUACCCGUCCUGCAUUAUGUACUCAAACUACUCAGGCAUGCAGGGAGAAGAUAUUUGAUGCCUCAAACAACUUUGAUGAGAUAUAUAAUGGAAAUGUUAU